GGGCAAGCCUUCGGUGUUAUUAGAGUGGCGGACGGGUGAGUAACACGUGGGAAUAUGCCUUUCAGUACGGAACAACGCUUGGAAACGAGUGCUAAUACCGUAUACGCCCCGAGGGGGAAAGAUUUAUCGCUGAAAGAUUAGCCCGCGCUAGAUUAGCUAGUUGGUGAGGUAAGAGCUCACCAAGGCGACGAUCUAUAGCUGGUUUGAGAGGAUGAUCAGCCACACUGGGACUGAGACACGGCCCAGACUCCUACGGGAGGCAGCAGUGGGGAAUAUUGGACAAUGGGGGCAACCCUGAUCCAGCGAUGCCGCGUGAGUGAUGAAGGCCUUAGGGUUGUAAAACUCUUUCAGAUGGGAGGAUAAUGACGGUACCAUCAGAAGAAGCUCCGGCUAACUCCGUGCCAGCAGCCGCGGUAAUACGGAGGGAGCUAGCGUUGUUCGGAAUUACUGGGCGUAAAGCGCGCGUAGGCGGCUUAGCAAGUUGGGGGUGAAAUCCCGGGGCUCAACCUCGGAACUGCCCUCAAAACUGCUGAGCUAGAAUCCUGGAGAGGUGAGCGGAAUUCCUAGUGUAGAGGUGAAAUUCGUAGAUAUUAGGAAGAACACCAGUGGCGAAGGCGGCUCACUGGACAGGUAUUGACGCUGAGGUGCG
rnacentral:rRNA from 1 species